UCAUAGGUUUUAUCAUCUUCGGCAAUUACCUUCUACUUGUUCUUGUUACUAACACUAGUGUAGAGCUCACAAGUGAAACUAUUGAAUUCCUGAGGGGAAUCUACAAAUUGUUCGACCUGCAGAACUUGAAGAUAUUUUUUCUACUGCACCAGAAAGAUUAAAAUUUAGUUCAUGGCUGAGGAACAAAAUUCCAUAGUACCCCAAAAUGACAAAUAUAAACAGCCCAUUGAGGAUGGCUUUGCAGAAUAUGAAGUUUCCAAAAAGCGAGCAAAGACUACUUCAAUUGUUUGGGAACAUUUUGAGCUAAUCACAAAAGAAACAAAUGGAGAUGAAGCCAAAGCG